rnacentral:rRNA from 1 species
GACGUAGGGCGCAAGCGUUGUCCGGAUUUAUUGGGCGUAAAGAGCUCGUAGGCGGCUUGCCACGUCUGCCGUGAAAACCAGCAGCUUAACUGUUGGCUUGCGGUUGAUACGGGUUGGCUGGAGUUCGGGAGAGGGAAGCGGAAUUCCGGGUGUAGCGGUGAAAUGCGUAGAUAUCUGGAGGAACACCGGUGGCGAAGGCGACAUCCUGGACCGGUAUUGACGCUGAGGCGCGAAAGCCAGGGGAGCAAACGGG